rnacentral:rRNA from 1 species
GACGAACGCUGGCGGCGUGCUUAACACAUGCAAGUCGAACGGAAAGGCCCUGCUUUUGUGGGGUGCUCGAGUGGCGAACGGGUGAGUAACACGUGAGUAACCUGCCCUUGACUUUGGGAUAACUUCAGGAAACUGGGGCUAAUACCGGAUAGGAGCUCCUGCUGCAUGGUGGGGGUUGGAAAGUUUCGGCGGUUGGGGAUGGACUCGCGGCUUAUCAGCUUGUUGGUGGGGUAGUGGCUUACCAAGGCUUUGACGGGUCGCCGGCCUGAGAGGGUGACCGGCCACAUUGGGACUGAGAUACGGCCCAGACUCCUACGGGAGGCAGCAGUGGGGAAUAUUGCACAAUGGGCGGAAGCCUGAUGCAGCAACGCCGCGUGCGGGAUGACGGCCUUCGGGUUGUAAACCGCUUUCGCCUGUGACGAAGCGUGAGUGACGGUAAUGGGUAAAGAAGCUCCGGCUAACUACGUG